AUGAACGCUGGCGGCGUGGAUAAGGCAUGCAAGUCAAACGAGUCCCGACGGAAUCGUAAGAUUCUGUCGGGAUUAGUGGCAGACGAGGUAGUAACACGUAGGAACGCACCCAGAAGUCUCGCAUAGCUUCGCGAAAGCGGGGGUAAUACGAGAUGUGGUAGAGAUAUCAAAGGAGUAAUCCGCUUCUGGAGCGGCCUGCGGAGUAUCAGCUAGUUGGUAGGGUAAUGGCCUACCAAGGCAAUGACGCUUAGGGGACCUGAGAGGGUGACCCCCACCGAUGGGACUGAGACACGGCCCAUACACCUACGGGUGGCCGCAGUCGAGAAUCUUCCGCAAUGGACGAAAGUCUGACGGAGCGACGCCGCGUGAUGGAUGAAGUCCCUAGGGACGUAAACAUCUUUUAUGGAGGAGAAAGUACCGACGCUUGCGUCGGUAUUGCUAGUACUCCAGGAAUAAGGGGUUGCUAAACUCGU
rnacentral:rRNA from 1 species